rnacentral:tRNA from 1 species
GCGGGGGUGGCGGAAUGGCAGACGCGCUGGUCUCAGAAGCCAGUGGGGGCGACCCUAUGAGAGUUAGGUUUAAUUUAGAGAAACGGGAAACUCCCUCCUCCCGCACCA